UAGUCCACGCUGUAAACGAUGAUCACUCGAUAUAUGUCCUUCGGGAUGUGUGUCCAAGCGAAAGCGGUAAGUGAUCCACCUGGGGAGGUACGCUCGCAAGAGUGAAACUUAAAGGAAUUGACGGGAGUCCGCACAAGCGGUGGAUUAUGUGGUUUAAUUUGAUAGUACGCAAGGAACCUUACCUAGGUUAAAUGUAAGCUGUAACACUAAGAAAAGAGUGCCCCCGCAAGGGCAGCUUACAAGGUGCUGCAUGGCCGUCGUCAGCUCGUGCCGUGAGGUGUCGGGUUAAGUCCUUUAACGAGCGCAACCCCUAUGCUUAGUUGCCAGCGCGUAAUGGCGGGGACUCUAAGCAAACUGCCUGCGCAAGCAGUGAGGAAGGAAGGGAUGAGGUCAGGUCAUCAUGGCCCUUACGCCUAGAGCUACACACGUAAUACAAUGGCAUGUACAAAAAGUUGCAACCUAGCGAUAGGAAGCCAAUCUCCAAAGCAUGUCUCAGUUCGGA
rnacentral:rRNA from 1 species